rnacentral:misc_RNA from 1 species
AGAAACAGUAUCCACAGUGGACUCCGGGGCUCCUACAGACUUGGCACAGCUUCCUACAGUCUUGAAACAGCCCUGUUGUUCUGUCAUGGCCAGUGGGCAGUUUGUGAACAAACUGCAAGAGGAAGUGAUCUGCCCCAUCUGCCUGGACAUUCUGCAGAAACCUGUCACCAUCGACUGUGGGCACAAUUUCUGCCUCAAAUGCAUCACUCAGAUUGGGGAAACAUCAUGUGGAUUUUUCAAAUGUCCCCUCUGCAAAACUUCCGUAAGGAAGAACGCAAUCAGGUUCAACUCGCUGUUGCGGAAUCUGGUGGAGAAAAUCCAAGCUCUACAAGCCUCUGAGGUGCAGUCCAAAAGGAAAGAGGCUACAUGCCCGAGGCACCAGGAGAUGUUCCACUAUUUCUGCGAGGAUGAUGGGAAGUUCCUCUGUUUUGUGUGUCGUGAAUCCAAGGACCACAAAUCCCAUAAUGUCAGCUUGAUCGAAGAAGCUGCCCAGAAUUAUCAGGGGCAGAUUCAAGAGCAGAUCCAAGUCUUGCAGCAAAAGGAGAAGGAGACAGUACAAGUGAAGGCACAAGGUGUACACAGGGUCGAUGUCUUCACGGACCAGGUAGAACAUGAGAAGCAAAGGAUCCUCACAGAAUUUGAACUCCUGCAUCAAGUCCUAGAGGAGGAGAAGAAUUUCCUGCUAUCACGGAUUUACUGGCUGGGUCAUGAGGGAACGGAAGCGGGGAAACACUAUGUUGCCUCCACUGAGCCACAGUUGAACGAUCUCAAGAAGCUCGUUGAUUCCCUGAAGACCAAGCAGAACAUGCCACCCAGGCAGCUGCUGGAGAACUGGAGAAAAAACUCAGUGAAGCAAAAUCAAGACACGACUCCAUCACAGGGAGCCUGAAAAAAUUCAAAGACCAACUCCAGGCUGAUAGGAAAAAAGAUGAAAACAGAUUCUUCAAAAGCAUGAAUAAAAAUGACAUGAAGAGCUGGGGCUUGUUACAGAAAAAUAAUCAUAAAAUGAACAAAACCUCAGAGCCCGGGUCAUCUUCUGCAGGCGGCAGAACUACAUCGGGGCCACCAAAUCACCACUCUUCAGCCCCAUCCCACUCCCUGUUUCGGGCCUCGUCUGCUGGGAAAGUCACUUUUCCAGUAUGUCUCCUGGCCUCUUAUGAUGAGAUUUCUGGUCAAGGAGCGAGCUCUCAGGAUACGAAGACAUUUGACGUUGCGCUGUCCGAGGAGCUCCAUGCGGCACUGAGUGAGUGGCUGACAGCGAUCCGGGCUUGGUUUUGUAAGGUUCCUUCAAGCUAAGCCAGCUCAGAGAACACGGGGAGCGGUGGUGCUCCACGGACUUCGGAGCAUAGAGUGGCGCUGAGUGAGUGGCUGAGACCGACCACGGUUCUUGACUUAGUGGAAUUGGGUCGAAGGAGUGGAGAAUGGGAGGGCUCGGGCUACUGAGAGUGGAGAUGGGGGCGGGGGUGGUGGUGAAGAGAGUUGGAGAAGGAAUGGACGAGUUCUUGAGCAAAAGGAGGGGAAGAGACAAUCUCCAGCCACCCGCCCCACGCUUGACUUCUUAUCACUUUGGCUGUGGUGCCGCCUAGUGGAAAAAGGAAGUCCCUGCAGCAGUCCCCGCACUCUUUAAGCAGCUGUUUACCGAAGGCACCAGUUCAGCCAGGAGUGAAAUCCAGAGACGAGCAACGCCAGCCUGGGUCACAGUCCAUCAAACCCCAUGAGCCCGACCACUCUCGCUCUUCCUUACAUUCCCACGUCCCCCUUCUCUCCCAACCCCUCAUAUCAGCAAGGGAAAUUAAUUAAUGAGAUUUGAUAAAUCAGUAGAUAGAAUGAGGUCCCCAUUCUGAAAUAUUUAGCAGACUGGAACCACCACGCAAGCCUCUGUAGGGGGUGGAUGGAGACACUUCUAACUUUAAUAAACUGCGACUGAACGUGGAA